AUUUGGUGAAGAAGAUAGACCCAAUUGUUUCGAAACUGAAGCAGCAUGUACUUCCAAUAGAGUUGACGAAGAAUUUCUGUUGGAUAGAGAAGAUGAUGUUGUAACUCAAUUUCUAUAAUUAAAUUUUGUCCUAUUUAACAUCUCCUUUCCAAAAAAAGGUUUGGAAUUUGCUUUUACGACAAGUGAUACUACAGUUGGUGGAUCGCAACAAGUCAAAAGUCCAUUUAUUGUCAGAGGGAAAGGAAGACCUUCAUCUCUUAGAAGAGCAUCUAGGAUGGAGAUAGACAUUCGGAAGCUUAAAGCCAAAUAAAAGAAAACACAAGUUGGAGGAAAAUGCAAACAGCGAGAUGAAAGGGAUACAGAAUCCAUGGGCACGCCCAUGACUUUAUUUGAUGAUAGAGAUACAGCAGUCAUGCUCACUCGAAGGAAUUUAUUUGGGCCAUCAGAAGUAGACCUCACCCAUCCUGUUCAAGUGAAGGUAUCAGAAAAACUGCAGAAUUUUAUUGUACGUGUUUAUUGGUUUUUUCAAUUUUGUAUUGUGAUUUGAAAGUUUAUGGUGGAUAUAGCAAGUUCUAGACAAUUCAGUAGAUUUUAACAGUAGUGGAACCACGCAAUCUCAUCCCAUUAUUGGUAGUCAAGAAAGUCACAACCGGAGCUCUUUGGGUGGAGAUGGGUCACAAGAGUUUGAGUAAACUGGUUCCUAUGUGGAGAUGAGAUAUUUGUGUCAAUCAUGUAAUUACGUAUGUGGAUGGAAUUUGAGAGAUUUUUUGUGUAUUUCAAUCCAUAUGUGUGUGGCAAGAAGGAGGAGAUUUGCCAAUAGGCUUGAAUUUUAAUUUGUGUUAUUUGAUGUGGGUUAAACAGUGGAUAUUUGAUUAUAAUAAUUAUGUAAAUACAACAGGUUAUGAAUAACUUGAUGAUUAUUUAGAGGAGGUUAUGUC